UACGUAGGGGGCAAGCGUUGUCCGGAUUUAUUGGGCGUAAAGAGCGUGUAGGCGGCCAGGUAGGUCGGUUGUGAAAACUCGAGGCUCAACCUCGAGAUGUCGAUGGAAACCGUCUGGCUAGAGUCCGGAAGAGGAGUGUGGAAUUCCUGGUGUAGCGGUGAAAUGCGCAGAUAUCAGGAAGAACACCUAUGGCGAAGGCAGCACUCUGGGACGGUACUGACGCUGAGACGCGAAAGCGUGGGGAGCGAACAGG
rnacentral:rRNA from 1 species